rnacentral:sRNA from 1 species
UGAUUGAAUUACAAAAUUGAUGCGCGUAC